rnacentral:rRNA from 1 species
AUAAGCGGAGGAAAAGAAACUAACAAGGAUUCCCUCAGUAGCGGCGAGCGAAGAGGGAUGAGCCCAGCACUGAAUCCCGUCGGGUCCAGCACCCGAUUGGGAAAUGUAGUGUUUAGGAGGAUCCAACUAUCCCGGAAAGUGGGUGCGAGUCCAAGUCCAUCUUGAAUGGGGCCACUGCCCGUAGAGGGUGCCAGGCCCGUAGUGACCGCCUCGCGUUCCGGGAGGAUCUCUCCUUAGAGUCGGGUUGCUUGAGAGUGCAGCUCUAAGAGGGUGGUAAACUCCAUCUAAGGCUAAAUAUGACCACGAGACCGAUAGCGAACAAGUACCGUGAGGGAAAGUUGAAAAGAACUUUGAAGAGAGAGUUCAAUAGUACGUGAAACCGUCCGGGGGUAAACGGGAGAAGUCCUAAAGGUCGAACGGCAAGAUUCAAGCCCGUGCCGUCGCUGGCCGCCUUAGUUACCAGACGGUGUCGGUCGCCCGGGACGAUGUCAUGUCGUGCCCGGUGACGUUGUCCGACGGCCGCUCGGUAUGCUUUGGUUGCCGUUCCAGUGUUUGCGGAGGGCUGCACUUCUUGCCUAGUAGGAACGUUGCGACCCGUUGGGCGCCGGUCUAAGGCUCGGGGAGGAAGUCUGUUGCCUAAGGGAAGCGGGGUGAGGCGCCGCAUAUUUCCCUGGGUCAGACCCCCGAUGUUUUCCGGAUCGGCUGCUCGACGGUAUGUAUAGAAGGAGUUGGUCCGCUCAGCACAAUGUGAGCGCCCGGUCCGCAUCAUUCGGACGCGUUGUGUGCCUCCACGUGGGUCAAACCACGUUUUGGUACUCGCGGUAUCCCGUUUGCUCUUUGCGGUGCCUCUCGGGCCGAGAUCCACCUCCCGUCUGCGACGCCAAAGCUUUGGAUCGUUUCCCGACCCGUCUUGAAACACGGACCAAGGAGUCUAACAUGUGCGCGAGUCAUUGGGACCGCGAAUAAACCUAAAGGCGUAAUGAAAGUGAGAGGGCUUGGCCGUGAUGGUCAGAUAGCCCGAGGGGAAGAUGGCCGCCGCAAGGGGGGGUUGUUGCGAAAUUUAUUUUGCUCUGCACCCCUUUUUAGCUGGGGCCGGCAUUCCCGGGGCGUCUCGUUCUCACUGCGAGAUGAGGCGCACCAAGAGCGUACACGUUGGGACCCGAAAGAUGGUGAACUAUGCCUGGUCAGGACGAAGUCAGGGGAAACCCUGAUGGAGGUCCGUAGCGAUUCUGACGUGCAAAUCGAUCGUCGGAGCUGGGUAUAGGGGCGAAAGACUAAUCGAACCAUCUAGUAGCUGGUUCCCUCCGAAGUUUCCCUCAGGAUAGCUGGCACUCGGAGGAAUGAGCAAAAAGUCUCAUAUGGUAAAGCGAAUGAUUAGAGGCCUUGGGGCCGAAACGACCUCAACCUAUUCUCAAACUUUAAAUGUGUGAGAUCUCGGGCUUGCUUGAAAGACUUGAAGCCCGAGACGGAUAAAGAGAGGCCAAGUGGGCCAUUUUUGGUAAGCAGAACUGGCGCUGUGGGAUGAACCAAACGCAGAGUUAAGGCGCCUAAAUUUACGUUAAUGGGAUACCAUGAAAGGCGUUGGUUGCUUAAGACAGCAGGACGGUGGCCAUGGAAGUCGGAAUCCGCUAAGGAGUGUGUAACAACUCACCUGCCGAAGCAACUAGCCCUGAAAAUGGAUGGCGCUGAAACGUAAAGCCUAUACUCUGCCGUCAGCGGCAUAGCGAGUCGAAGAUGGGAUCCUUCGGGGGACUCUUUGGCUGCGAAGCCCUGACGAGUAGGAGGGUCGCGGCGGUGUGCGCAGAAGGGUCUGGGCGUGAGCCUGCCUGGAGCCGCCGUCGGCGCAGAUCUUGGUGGUAGUAGCAAAUACUCCAGCGAGGUCCUGGAGGACUGACGUGGAGAAGGGUUUCGUGUGAACAGCCGUUGCACACGAGUCAGUCGAUCCUAAGCCCUAGGAGAAAUCCGAAACGAUGUGUUCCAUUCCAAACCUCGUGAUGAGGGGUGCCAUCGGGCGAAAGGGAAUCCGGUUCCUAUUCCGGAACCCGGCUGCGGAACCGGUGUACGUCGGGUACAUCAUGCGCCGCAUCUCGCGUCCGCUGACGUUGCUAGUCGUGUACGGACCCAGUCCGGUCGUUCUGCCUGCGUGGGGAGUUUGGGGCAACCCAAAUCAUCUCGACCUUGUUGGUUCACCGGUGCUGCGGCUUUCGGCCGCGUGCACGUUGGCGGCCGAAUGUGGCGGGCCAUGUUUGUACUCGUCGGGGUAACCCAACAAGUCCCGAAGACGCCGUCGGGAGAUCCGGGCAGAGUUUUCUGUUCUGCAUGAGCGUUCGAGUUCCCUGGAAUCCUCUAGCAGGGAGAUAGGGUUUGGAACGCGAAGAGCACCGCAGUUGCGGCGGUGUCUGGAUCUUCCCCUCGGACCUUGAAAAUUCGGGCGAGGGACACGUGGAGGUGUCGCGCCGGUUCGUACCCAUAUCCGCAGCAGGUCUCCAAGGUAAAGAGCCUCUAGCCGAUUGAAUA